UACGUAGGGUGCAAGCGUUGUCCGGAAUUAUUGGGCGUAAAGAGCUCGUAGGCGGCUUGUUGCGUCGACUGUGAAAACCCGCGGCUUAACCGCGGGCCUGCAGUUGAUACGGGCAGGCUAGAGUUCGGUAGGGGAGACUGGAAUUCCUGGUGUAGCGGUGAAAUGCGUAGAUAUCAGGAGGAACACCGGUGGUGUAGACGGCUUACUGGACCACGACUGACACUGAGGCACGAAAGCGUGGGUAGCAAACAGG
rnacentral:rRNA from 1 species